AAAACAUGUCUUUAUGAAAUUAAUAUAAAGUCUAAUCUGCUCAAUGAAUAAUUUUAAAUAGCUGCAGUAUAUUGACUGUGCAAAGGUAGCAUAAUCAAUAGUUUUUUAAUUAAAAGCUGGUAUGAAUGAUUGGAUAAGGUAAAUAUUGUCUCAAAAUUAAUAAUAUUAGAAUUUUUUUUAUUGUUAAAAAACAAUAAUGAAUUUAAAAGACGAGAAGACCCUAUAGAUUUUUAUUAUUUUUAUUAAAAAAUAUUUAAAUAAAUAAAAUAAAUUUUUAAUAAAAAUAAUUUGAUUGGGGAAAUUAUUAAAUUAAAUAAAUUUUAAUUAUUUUAAAACAAUAAUUAUUGAAUUUUUGACCUUAAUUAUAAAUUAAUAGAAUAAAUUACCUUAGGGAUAACAGCGUAAUUUUUUUGGAGAGAUCAUAUUGAUAAAAAAGAUUGCGACCUCGAUGUUGAAUUAAGAUAAAAUUUUGGUGAAGAAGUUAAAAAAUUUUGGUCUGUUCGACCAUUAAAAUCUUACGU
rnacentral:rRNA from 1 species